AGCAAAGGGGUGGGGCCGCCUGAGGCCCGGCCGGGGCCUCCGAGGUCGAGCCUGAGUCGGGACUGGGUGGAUUUGCCAGGAGUUGGGUAUUUUCCUGUCCCCACCUGUCUAGGGAUGAAAAGGAGUUGCCCGUGUUCGGUAUUGAACCACGAAGGACCUUGCCAUGCCCAGUACGGUGGCCACUGACCCCCCGCCGUUUGGGACGAUGGAGCCCACGAAAUGGGGCCAGUUUCAGUUGCGGUCCCAGCUGUGAAACGUACAUCUGAUUUUAAAAACUUCGGAUGAGAAAGAAAGUAAAAGAUGUCAUUGAUUGCUCAUUUAGAAAGUGGAUGUGUGGGAUAACAUGUCCAAUGUGUCCGAGGAGAGAAGAAAAAGGCAGCAGAACAUUAAGGAAGGACUGCAGUUUAUACAGUCACCGCUGUCAUAUCCAGGAACACAGGAGCAAUAUGCGGUAUAUUUGCGUGCUCUCGUGAGAAAUCUUUUUAAUGAAGGAAAUGACGUUUAUCGGGAACAUGAUUGGAACAACUCGAUAAGCCAGUACACGGAAGCCUUGAAUAUAGCUGAUUAUGCAAAAU
rnacentral:lncRNA from 1 species